AACGAACGCUGGCGGCAUGCCUAACACAUGCAAGUCGAACGAGACCUUCGGGUCUAGUGGCGCACGGGUGCGUAACGCGUGGGAACCUGCCCUUAGGUUCGGAAUAACUCCCCGAAAGGGGUGCUAAUACCGGAUAAUGUCUUCGGACCAAAGAUUUAUCGCCUUUGGAUGGGCCCGCGUUGGAUUAGGUAGUUGGUAGGGUAAAAGCCUAUCAAGGCGACGAUCCAUAGCUGGUCUGAGAGGAUGAUCAGCCACACUGGGACUGAGACACGGCCCAGACUCCUACGGGAGGCAGCAGUGGGGAAUAUUGGACAAUGGGCGAAAGCCUGAUCCAGCAAAGCCGCGUGAGUGAUGAGGCCUUAGGGUUGUAAAGCUCUUUUACCCGGGAUGAUAAUGACAGUACCGGGAGAAUAAGCUCCGGCUAACUCCGUG
rnacentral:rRNA from 1 species